GUGUCAGCCGCCGCGGUAAUACGGAGGGUGCAAGCGUUAUCCGGAAUCACUGGGUUUAAAGGGUGCGUAGGCGGUUUGAUAAGUCAGUUGUGAAAUACCCCGGCUUAACCGGCGGUCGUGCGAUUGAUACUGUCAGACUUGAAUCAGGUUGAGGUAGGCGGAAUGUGGCAUGUAGCGGUGAAAUGCAUAGAUAUGCCAUAGAACACCGAUUGCGAAGGCAGCUUGCUGGACCUAGAUUGACGCUGAGGCACGAAAGCGUGGGGAGCAAACAGGAUUAGAUACCCUGGUAGUCC
rnacentral:rRNA from 1 species